GCACCAUGUAGAGGAUAGGCGCGGAUCUCUACAACUGGACCACCUCCUUUGAAAAUACUGGCAGAGCCUGCAACACAGGUACCUCGUGCCUGCCCCAAAAGCCAUACCACCUUCCUCACUUGCAUGGCCACUCUGACGUCUCUGUAACUGACACAUGGCUAUAGGCCCUAAGGCGAUCUGCCUCAAGAGGCCAUGUGUCAACACCUGGGGAAAUCCAGGCACAUACAUGCAAAUACAGAGGUCUCCCAGGAGGCUUUCAGC